UCUGCAGCCCGACUUGAACGGAGCUCAUUUUUUUGCUGGGGAUUUAGCUUGGAAAAAAAUAGCGGGAGUGGAAGGCGGAAAUAGCU
rnacentral:misc_RNA from 1 species